rnacentral:tRNA from 1 species
GCGCCCUUAGCUCAGCAGGAUAGAGCAACAGCCUUCUAAGCUGUGGGUCAGAGGUUCGAAUCCUCUAGGGCGCA